UACGUAGGCAGCAAGCGUUGUUCGGAAUUACUGGGCGUAAAGAGCGUGUAGGCGGCCAGGUAGGUCGGUUGUGAAAACUGGAGGCUCAACCUUCAGAGGUCGACCGAAACCAUCUGGCUAGAGUCCGGGAGAGGAGAGUGGAAUUCCUGGUGUAGCGGUGAAAUGCGCAGAUAUCAGGAGGAACACCAACGGCGAAGGCAGCUCUCUGGGACGGUACUGACGCUGAGACGCGAAAGCGUGGGGAGCGAACAGG
rnacentral:rRNA from 1 species